CUGUAGCUCAGUGACAGAGCAUUUGCCUGUUAUGCACAAGGCCCUGGGUUCCUCUCCCAGCAG
rnacentral:tRNA from 1 species